rnacentral:rRNA from 1 species
GAUGAACGCUGGCGGCAUGCCUUACACAUGCAAGUCGAACGGUAACAGGUCUUCGGAUGCUGACGAGUGGCGAACGGGUGAGUAAUACAUCGGAACGUGCCUAGUAGUGGGGGAUAACUACUCGAAAGAGUGGCUAAUACCGCAUGAGAUCUACGGAUGAAAGCAGGGGAUCGCAAGACCUUGUGCUACUAGAGCGGCCGAUGGCAGAUUAGGUAGUUGGUGGGAUAAAAGCUUACCAAGCCGACGAUCUGUAGAUGGUCUGAGAGGACGAUCAGCCACACUGGGACUGAGACACGGCCCAGACUCCUACGGGAGGCAGCAGUGGGGAAUUUUGGACAAUGGGCGCAAGCCUGAUCCAGCAAUGCCGCGUGCAGGAUGAAGGCCUUCGGGUUGUAAACGGCUUUUGUACGGAACGAAAAGCCCUGGGUUAAUACCCUGGGGUCAUGACGGUACCGUAAGAAUAAGCACCGGCUAACUACGUGCCAGCAGCCGCCGUAAAAC